UUCUCAAGCUCACUUCUUUGCUUGAUUAUUGAGGGCAUACUUCAGGAGGGCCAAGCACUCCGCUGUAGCACUGUCAGCAACCAGGUGGUCAGUCCUAGCCAAGACGUCCGCUUUCUUUUGUCAACCUUCGUAUGUCCAGGCACUGUAUAAGCCAUUUAUGUUGUCAAGUUGUUAAGAUGUUGACUUGCUUAUGGGUGUCCCUCUAAG